rnacentral:tRNA from 1 species
GCCGCAAUAGCUCAGUCGGCAGAGCAACUGAUUCGUAAUCAGUAGGUCGGAGGUUCGAUUCCUCUUUGCGGCACCA